rnacentral:tRNA from 1 species
GGGGCUGUAGCUCAGAUGGUAGAGCGCUCGCUUAGCAUGCGAGAAGUACGGGGAUCGAUACCCCGCAGCUCCA